CUAGUUUAGGGAAUUAGAAGGUACCAUUGGACAAAUUUUGACAUCUCCUGAAGGUGCUGAUAUAUCUAGUGAAGUUGAAUAAAUGAUGUGUUCAUAGUCAAUUUGCUCCAUAAACCAAGAUGGUAUCUUAAUGGGUAUAUUCCCUUAGAACAACUCUGAUUUUUGCAUAACACCUUUAGAAUCGUAGCUAUAGAUAAUCAUUUAUCUCCAGAUUGAUUGUGACAAAUCAGUUUGUAUUUUCUUUAUUAAGUUUAUGAUUUCUAGAAGUAAUAUAUUUAAAAGAAGAAAUAAACCAAUGCAGCAUGUCAUCCUCUCCUGCUACAUCUACAGUCGAAAGAAAAUAUUUUGCAAAAAUCCAAGAGUACAAAGCAGAAUUUCAUCAGCUAGUCAUUCUUGUUUAUCAACUAAUUGGUGUUUGUGUAAUACAGUUAAGUUAGCUGUUUAAUGUGUCACUAUUUAUCUUUUGUUAUGUUAAUCUUAAGUCUGUUUAAAUGUAGUUCACAAAUGAAAUUCAUCCAGAAAUUAUAAGUGAUAUUUUAUUAUGGUGCGCAAUAUAUGCUAAUCAAACAGUGUUGUUUUAUUAACAAAUAAACAAAGAAGUAUUGUAGUUUUCAGGAAUGUAUAUAAUGUUACAGUAAAAUUAAUGGGGAAAAAAUUGUUAAAAUUCAUAAUUCUUUUUUGGCUUUGAACAAAUUUGAUAAUGUUGAAAUUUCCAAUUUCUUAUUAUAGUUAUUUAAAACAAGAACAUAUUUAUUAAGAUUAACACUUGACCAAAAGAAAAAAAUUUGCAUUUUUUGUGGAAUUUUCUUGGAUAGAAAAAUUUUGAAAUCAAUAAUGCAAGAACAUUAAAAAAGAAAUUGCAUCUUUUAUAUGAUAAAAGCUAAAAUAUUAAAAAACUUCUUCGAUAUUUAAAAGGUUUGAUUUAGAUACAUCAUACACAUAAAUAUGAAAACUUUGUAGCCAAAUUAGAAUUAGAUCAUUCGUAGUUAAUUCUUUGAGAUACGUCAUCAGGAGCAGCGUAAAGAAAUGCAUUUUAUGUUUGUGUUUCUUUCGAGAUCUGAUCUUGAGUUUCUGUAACAAAGAACUGCUCUUGCUGACUUGUCUCUAUGCAUAAUUUAAAAAGUAAACAAGAAAAAAAAUAUAUAUAUACUUAUUUAUUAGCAAAUUUUAAAACUGUUUUUAAGUUUCAAAAAUUAAAAUGUUAUCAUGCUGAUUAGUUUAAAUAUUAUCAAUACAUAAAUAUAUUUAGGAUGCUUGCCGAUAAGUUUAAUCUAUUUAUUAUUGUUAAAAUAAUAAUGUUCAUUUCAGAAUACGCAAUAAUAAUGUUCAUUAAUUUUAGAAGAUUAUAAUAGUUGUAAAUUGUUAUUGUUAAUACUUUUUCUUCUGGAAUUUAUAUUAAAUUACAUUUUAUCAUCAGUAAUUAACACAUUAUAAUUAAAAUGUAUUAUAACAAUUUGACUCCCGAGUAACUUCCAAUUAAUUAUAAUCCUUAGGAGAGAAAAUAACAAUAAUAAAAUAACAAUAGAGUUGUUUAGAAAGUAGUAUUUUAAUAAUAAUAUAGAGAGGAACAAUUGUGUUUGUGAUUUGUCUUACGAUACAGUAGAGUAUGGUGUAGAUAUAAUUUUUCCUAUAAUCAAUAACCUCUUUAGAUCGAUAUCACUUUGAUAUUUAUUUAGUACAGACUUUUACAUACCUUUGUCCUGUUUUUGGUAGUAUAGAGUUACAUUACUUAAUGCAUUUUCAUGCUUUAUCGAAAGUUACUUGCUACUGUUAAGAGAUCUCAUUAAGAAAUGAAUGCAAUCUCAUUUAAAAUAAUUUUUGCAACAGACUGCCAAUUUAUAUAAGCACCGAUUAUUCAAUAAUCAAAAAAAAA